AUGCCACCAGCGCCAACAGCACCCCCACCGCCGACCCCGGCAGCGCCAGGGGCCCCGGCGCGCUCAUGCCCACCACCCCGACGCCCACCUCCGCCGGCCUCCGCCUCUCCAAGUCCGGCAGCAAGUCCUUCAAGGUACCACCACCACCACUUCCACCACCACCAAACUACGUUGUACACCUGUGACGUUCUUGUGCUUCCAAUGAUGCGCGCAAGUAGCUUUCUUCCAUUCUUUUGA
rnacentral:rRNA from 1 species